UGGGGAAUUUUGGACAAUGGGCGCAAGCCUGAUCCAGCAAUGCCGCGUGCAGGAUGAAGGCCUUCGGGUUGUAAACUGCUUUUGUACGGAGCGAAAAGGUCUGCCCUAAUACGGUGGGCUCAUGACGGUACCGUAAGAAUAAGCACCGGCUAACUACGUGCCAGCAGCCGCGGUAAUACGUAGGUUGCGAGCGUUAAUCGGAAUUACUGGGCGUAAAGCGUGCGCAGGCGGUUAUAUAAGACAGGUGUGAAAUCCCCGGGCUCAACCUGGGACCUGCAUUUGUGACUGUAUAGCUAGAGUACGGUAGAGGGGGAUGGAAUUCCGCGUGUAGCAGUGAAAUGCGUAGAUAUGCGGAGGAACACCGAUGGCGAAGGCAAUCCCCUGGACCUGUACUGACGCUCAUGCACGAAAGCGUGGGGAGCAAACA
rnacentral:rRNA from 1 species